rnacentral:rRNA from 1 species
UACGAAGGGGGCUAGCGUUAAUCGGAAUUACUGGGCGUAAAGCGUGCGCGGGCGGUUCGUUAAGUCAGCUGUGAAAGCCCCGGGCUCAACCUGGGAAUUGCGGUUGAAACUGGCGAACUAGAAUCUGGCAGAGGGGGGUGGAAUUCCACGUGUAGCAGUGAAAUGCGUAGAGAUGUGGAGGAACACCGAUGGCGAAGGCAGCCCCCUGGGCUGAGAUUGACGCUCAGGCACGAAAGCGUGGGGAGCAAACAGG